GCUUCCUUGGCUCAGUUGGCUAGAGCGCAGGUCUCAUAUCUAUAUGAGCGGUUGUAAACCGUUAAAUCCUGAGGUCGCAAGUUCGAGCCUUGCAGGGAGCA